GGCAGGAAAAUGUCAGGUAAGAAGGAGAAAUAGUGAAAUGUGCACAUGUUCCUUUUUGUUGCCCUCCAAUCAUGAACGGAGCUCCACUCAGGACUUCAGUUUAAUCUCUCGCUUGACUUGGAAAGGAGAAGGUUGUCCCUACUGAGAUCAGAGGAGAACCAAGAGGGCAUGGUGGGCUGAAGGCCAAAUGAAGGAAAGGUGAAGAUUUUCAAGGAGGGAGUGGUCAGCCAUGUCACAUGCUGCUGACAUGACUGGGGAUUGACCACUGGAUUGAGCAACAUGGGGAACAUUGUGGCCUUGAUACAAAAUUUUCUCUGAUUGGAGGGAGUUCAAAAGAGAACAGGUUCAGAAGUGGAGACACCAAGUGAAGACAGCUCUUUGAAGGAAUGAAAGCGAGUGGAGAGCAAGCAGCUUCAGUGCUCACAUUGUUGCCACGUGAUUCAAG
rnacentral:lncRNA from 1 species